UCUUCUGGACGAGCAAAGAAAGUGGUUUCUUGAGAGUGAAACUACUGCUGGUGAAGAUGCUGUGAA
rnacentral:pre_miRNA from 2 species